ACAGUGCCACGGCCGUCUGAGCUAAGAAAAUAACUUACUGAAAAGGCGCAGAAUUCUGCGCCUUUUUU
rnacentral:ncRNA from 17 species